AACGAACGCUGGCGGUAGGCCUAACACAUGCAAGUCGAACGGCAGCACAGGAGAGCUUGCUCUCUGGGUGGCGAGUGGCGGACGGGUGAGGAAUACAUCGGAAUCUACUCUGUCGUGGGGGAUAACGUAGGGAAACUUACGCUAAUACCGCAUACGACCUACGGGUGAAAGCAGGGGAUCUUCGGACCUUGCGCGAUUGAAUGAGCCGAUGUCGGAUUAGCUAGUUGGCGGGGUAAAGGCCCACCAAGGCGACGAUCCGUAGCUGGUCUGAGAGGAUGAUCAGCCACACUGGACCUGAGACACGGCCCAGACUCCUACGGGAGGCAGCAGUGGGGAAUAUUGGACAAUGGGCGCAAGCCUGAUCCAGCCAUACCGCGUGGGUGAAGAAGGCCUUCGGGUUGUAAAGCCCUUUUGUUGGGAAAGAAAUCCAGCCGGCUAAUACCUGGUUGGGAUGACGGUACCCAAAGAAUAAGCACCGGCUAACUUCGUGCCAGCCGCCGCAGUAAUAC
rnacentral:rRNA from 1 species